GAUGAACGCUGGCGGCGUGCCUAAUACAUGCAAGUCGAGCGAACAGACGAGGAGCUUGCUCCUCUGACGUUAGCGGCGGACGGGUGAGUAACACGUGGAUAACCUACCUAUAAGACUGGGAUAACUUCGGGAAACCGGAGCUAAUACCGGAUAAUAUAUUGAACCGCAUGGUUCAAUAGUGAAAGACGGUUUUGCUGUCACUUAUAGAUGGAUCCGCGCCGCAUUAGCUAGUUGGUAAGGUAACGGCUUACCAAGGCAACGAUGCGUAGCCGACCUGAGAGGGUGAUCGGCCACCCUGGAACUGAGCCACGGUCCAGACUCCUACGGGAGGCAGCAGUAGGGAAUCUUCCGCAAUGGGCGAAAGCCUGACGGAGCAACGCCGCGUGAAUGAUGAAGGUCUUCGGAUCGUAAAGCUCUGUUAUUAGGGAAGAACAAAUGUGUAAGUAACUAUGCACGUCUUGACGGUACCUAAUCAGAAAGCCACGGCUAACUACGUG
rnacentral:rRNA from 1 species